CGAUAUCGGACGAGUUUGAUCCUGGCUCAGAAUCAACGCUGGCGGCGUGCCUCAGACAUGCAAGUCGAACGAUUAAAGCUCUCUUCGGAGAGUGUAUAGAGUGGCGCACGGGUGAGUAACACGUAAGUAAUCUACCCUCGAGUGGGGAAUAACAACCGGAAACGGUUGCUAAUACCGCAUAAUGCAGCGGCACCGCAAGGUGACAGUUGUUAAAGAUUUAUCGCUUGAGGAGGAGCUUGCGGCAGAUUAGCUAGUUGGUAGGGUAACGGCUUACCAAGGCUACGAUCUGUAACCGGUCUAAGAGGACGGUCGGUCACACUGACACUGAAUAACGGGUCAGACUCCUACGGGAGGCAGCAGUCGGGAAUUUUGGGCAAUGGGCGAAAGCCUGACCCAGCAACGCCGCGUGAAAGAUGAAGUAUUUCGGUAUGUAAACUUCGAAAGAAUAGGAAGAAUUAAUGACGGUACUAUUUAUAAGGUCCGGCUAACUACGUG
rnacentral:rRNA from 1 species